rnacentral:misc_RNA from 1 species
AAAUUAUAUUUUAUAAAUAUUUUGUGCUAUCUGAGACGGAAAGUGUAGGUGAUGGCCCUUAAAACGCAUAUUUGUUUCAUGAUUAAUCUUGGAAAAUCAUGAGCGACAUCUUAUUACUUUAUCAACUUCAGGUUCUUUAGUCAGAGACGCUCGACGUGUAGUCAUCAGUGGUCGGCCGCGCUCGCGUCGAGUCGCGAUCCGUUUCCGCUUCCGGUUCCGUUCGAUACGCAGUUAUACUUCCGCAUCGGGCGUUCCUUGGCGAGUUCGUGAUCACCGUGGAUCGCUCGCGAACGCCAUCGGUAUAAGUGUCCCGAUUCGUCCUUCGUCGGGCUAUUCUCGACGACACGCGAGUUCGGGAUCGACGGGAGUGUCCGGGAGUCGCGGGAUGUCCGGUGUCCGGCGUACGCGGUACGCAACGAGUGUCGCCGCCCGUUCCCGUCUCCGCUCGAUCUCGUCGCGGUUCUCGUCGGCCGCGAGCGAACUUCCCCGUGGAAGGCAUCGCCGGGAACGUGGAACCGAGUCGACAACAUUAAUCGGCGGGUAAAGUGGUCGCGUUCCUCUCCCCUCCCGUCUGUGGAAAAUUAGCGCGAAAAUCGCGUGAAUUUUUGUCGAGUCAUGUACAAGGUGACGGCCAUGUUGUGACGUAGUACACGACGAUCGUACUUCAGUCUGUACUUGACCUUCUCCCGCGCUGCGCGUCGUGUCGCGGCCCACCUCCGUUCGACACAGUUAUCCUUCCGCAUCACUUGUUUCUUGGCGAUUUGCGAGUUUGCGAUCACCGUGGAUCGCUCGCAAACGCCAUCGGGAUGUGUCGUGAUUCGUUGCCGGGAGUGUUGUCGCGGGACGCCCGGUGUCGAGCGUACGCAACGAAGAAUGUCGCGUCGCCGCCAUUGUUUUAUUUUUUUUGUGCCGCGAAAUAAGAUCUCGUCGCGUUCCUCGCGUCCUCUCGUGUCCUCUCGUCGAUGGAGAGCGAGUUUCCCCGCGGAAGGCAUCGCCGGGAUGUCGAACCGAGUUGAUAUACACAGUGAUCGCGUCCCUCGCGCCUCUCUUCCCUCCCGUCUGUGGGAAAUUGGCGCGAAAAUCUCUUGAGUUUUUCGUCGUCGUGUCGUAUCGUGAAGUGACGCAGUUCAUGUACAAGAAAGAUCGCCCAUGUCGCGUUGUAUCACGGUUCCCGCUCGAUCUCGUCGCGUUCCUCGCGUCCUCUCGUCGGUCGAGAGCGAAUUUCCCUGUGAAAGGCAUCGUCGGGAAUGCCGAACCGAGUCGACGUGCAUUAAUCGGCGCGCAAAGUGGUGUCGUGUCUCUUGCGUCGUUAGGAUUUUCAAUCGUGUCGAUCGCGUGUGUACGGUGUGUGCGAAUGCAGCGAAGAAAACGUCAUCGAUUCAUCGGCUGGUGAGUAAAUUUAAUUAUUAUAUUCGCGGAAUUAAUCAGUACGUGGCGUCAUCGUCGUCCAAUAUCUCUCUUAACCAAAAUUUCAAGUGAUAAGUUCUUUAAUUUAUUUUAAAAUUUUGUUCUUCCCAUUUUUCAGUUUCUUUUUCAAAUUUUUAGAUAUUUUUUUUAAUGUGUUGAUAUCUUAUAUUUUUAAUAUUUUAAGAUGCUGGAAUGAUGGUCACACUUGAUCAGGUUAAUAAUGUAGAAUCAUUAGUGCACAGCUUUAACAAAAUUUCAUAUGUAUUUCUUUUAUAAAUUUGAAAAACUGAUCAAAUUUGACUCCCACUCAGUAAGUCUAUUCUGUAACUUUUAACGACAGUGUCAAUAUUGUUAUAUUGUUGCGUACGUAUUAUAUGACAAAAAAACUGCGCAAUAACAGUAUAACGAUACUGAACUCUGUUAAGAGUUACAGAAUAGGCUUACUAGUAUUCCCUUAAAAGGUUUCAUCUACAAUGGCCAUAGUAGUAGUAAGAAAAAGUAAACAAAUGAUUUAAUUUACAAUUCAAGUAUAAUUCACAAUUAAUUAUACUUGAAUUAUGAGAAUAGAAUUUGUUUACUGCGCAUUUUUUACAAUUACUGCUAUUGUAGAAUAAGCCUUAUUCUUUAAAUAUUUCAACUUCUUAUUUCAAUAUUUAAAUAUUAAAUGAUAUUAUUUCAGCGCUGUUGAGUAUAGACAAGAUCAGACAAAAACAACAAAUAUAAGUAACAUUGAUGACGAAGAGCUUUGCAGAUAUAGAAAUUCUAUUAGAAAGACAGCAGUGUUUAUCGAAAAUGGCAUAUUAGAACAUUCUAUCCUGUAAGUUAAAUUUUUCUUUUAUGAAGUAAAGUAUAUAAUAAUAUUUGAAGUGUGUAUUAAACAAUAUAUCAUAAAUGGAUAUUUAGAAAACAUGAAAGUUUUCUUAAUUAAAAGCAUAUGAAAAGCAAAAAUUUUUAUUUCUUUAUUGUAACUUAAGAACUGUUACAUAGUUUUCUUCUACGAGACAUAUUGUUAUUUUAUGAAUAUAUCAUUUCCAGUAUAUCUAGUAAAGAAUUGUAUAGUAUAUAAUAUAAUAUUUUUAUUUGCAGCACUAACGAGGAUUUAUCACAAAUCAUGGGCUUUAUUAGAAGUGUUUUAUGGCAUGACAAUUUGCAACACAUAUGGGACAUAUAUGAGAGGAAAUGUUGCUACCGCUUUUAAAAUACUUCUUGUAUGCCAGCUUAACGAAGCGACGCGACAAGGCAGGAAUCGGGGUCAACCUCGUUCGUUCCGCAUUAUUGUUCCGCAGAAGCUUCUUCUCGCGUCGUUCCUUUUGCAAGAUAAACGUCGCAAAAAAAUAUCAAAUUCCAUGCUCUCGCGAUUGGCUGGACGUCCGCUAUGAGGUCGAACAUUAAGGCGCCUCCCUCUACCGAUUUAUUGCCGGCAGUGGACGACGGGGAUGAUUCGGGUAUCGGUUUCCUCGUGCACGUUGAAAUAGAAGGAUGCUCAUUAUUUCUCGACUACUUUGUAAUCGCAUCGUUAGACAGAACGGCGUGACCUCGAGUAGAAAAGAAGAGGAGAGUGAAACACGGCAGAGAGAUGCGCGAGAGAUGACGAAUUCCUUCUAUUAGGAUUAACCUACUUCUUAGCCGACCUUUUUUCCUCAGCCUCGUUCGUUCCACCAUUUAUUACGGAUAGAGGGACACUCCCUUUACACAAUCUACGUGUAAGCGGCCGGUUGGACGAUCGUCAUCGCCUAGCUCGCCUUUUACGACUCUAUUGCGAUGUGACACGACAACAGGGUUAAAGAGUCGAGCAUACCUGAAUGCGAUGGCUACUGCAGAUGGAUUCGCCCUGUAACGACUUUAUGUCCACGAAAGAGUAUUUGAAAUUCGCCCUCGUAAUUGUGGCACACAGACUGCGAUGAAGAUGACGUAGGUGAUAUUGAGAUAGUGUCGUGGAAUCGGGCUGGAUCCGAUGAAGAUGAUGGUGACAGUGCUCGCGGUGAAGACGGCGGAGAUGACAAUAUGCACCCAGAAAAAAAGGUGCCGUGAGAUCUCGUCGUGUUCCUCGCGUCCUCUCGUAGUUUGAGAGAGUUUCCCCAUGGAAGUCAUCAACGGGGAUGUUGAACCGAGCCGACGCCGUUAAUCGUGUCGAGCGCCUGUGUGCGAACGCAAAACAUCGAUUCAUCAGCUGGUGAGUAAAUUUAUUUAUUAUAUUCGCGGAAUUAAUCGGCACGUGACGUCAUCGUCACCUAAUAUCUUAAUCAGAAUUUCAAGUGAUAAGUUCAUUAAAUUAAGAAUCAGUUUUCAAAAUUUUGUUUUUUCAAUUUUUCUAUUUUUUGCAAAUUUUUAAAUAUUUUUUUAAUAUUUUGAUAUUUCUAUAUUUUUGAUAUUUUAAGGGGAUGCUGGAGUGAUGGUAUAAUUUGAUCAAGGUCGAUAAUGUAGAAUCAUUACUAAACAGCUUUAACAAAAUUUUGUAUGUAUUUUUUUUAUAGAUUUCUAAAAUAUUAACUCUGAUCAAUUUGACCAUCACGUUGGUAUUUUCUUAACUGUUUUCAGUAUGUUUAUUAAAGAAUUGUAUGAUAUAUAAUAUUUUUAUUUGCAGCGCUAACGAGGAUUUACCACCUUUAUUGACAAAUCAUGGGCUUUAUUAGUUUUCUGGCAUGACAAACAAUUUGCGACACAUAUGGGACACGAGAGGUAAUGCUGCUACCGCUUUUAAAAUACUUCUUGGUUUAUCCUACUUGCAUUUGGCGUGCUACGUUCAAACUGCGCGCGUGAAGUUAACUACACCGCUGUGUGCGUAGAGUAGCGUGCGAUGACCGGGGGCGCCACUUGCGCGCGACAAGCGGGCACUCGGAGUUAGACACCACUGUUUUUUCAAUAUGGCGGAAGAAGAACGCGCGGGUUUGUGCGUGUAAGGAAUAUGAGUACUUCAACAAAUAAAUCAUGGAAGAAAUACAAGGGAAACCAUGCGUCGUUCAGCCCAUUGACCCACGGAAGGAAAAUAUCGCACGUAAGUGGUAGCCGAUGGAAACUCGUAGAUAACGAGCGAAGGGAGCGAGGGUGAGAGACAUCGCGACAGCACGAGGUAAGUAAACAUACGUUCGCGUCUCAAGAUCAAAGAUCAAUGCCCAUUGGAGUUGAUUUGAAACGCGAGCGCGCAAACAUUAUUAUAUACCUCCGUCGAUUUUACAUACAGUGCUCCGCCGCCAGUACAUGCACUUUGCCUCCUUUCUCCUCUCUAUUUUUUUUGAAUAUCCUUCGGGCGCGUCCCGAUGGGAAUGUGGACGUGAGUGCGUGUUCGCGGGGGGAGAGGGAACGCGAAAAGGGGAGCAGGAUAGAUAGCGCGACGCGGUGCAACUGUAUGUUAAUCGAACGCGCAUCCGAAUACGGAAUAAGAAUGGAAACCGUCUGGUUUAAUAUAGUAUUCUACGUUCCUCGUCACUUCGAUAGGCAUUCACCUCUUCCUUCGUCAUCUGGUUAUCUCUUUCAUAUCCAUGCAUUUCGCGCGCUCACCGUUGUUUCUUUCUUGCUCUGUUGAUUCGAGCAUCGCUGUCGACACUUUAUGAGAAUAGAGAAUAAUCCUUUCUGUAUUUUAUUUUUCAAUCGAGUUUAUCUUCAUAUUCUCUAUAUUUUCAGUUUUCUUUUUAACUCGCAUGCGUAUUGAUAAUUUGUAGACCCCAAAUUUUGUUUAAGCGACGUUAAAAAAAUCGCGCAUACUUUCGUAAUUUACCUCUUAAUAGCACGACAUAUAGCACUCGUUUUAUCGAAAUUAAAAGAAUAUAAUACCAUAAAUUUAUAAAUGUAUUUUCAAUAAUGUAAAUAAUUAUUGGAAAUUCAUUCUUUUACAAUAAUAAAAUAAUUACAUUUUGCUGUCUAUUUUAUAUUUUUAUGAGUAAUAUCGGUAUCGGACAUAUUGAUGUUAUUGAUUGUAUAUAGAAUCAAGAAAUCUUAAGACAUAUGCUGACGUCCAUCAGCGAGCAUCAUUGUGCGCUGUUUAAACCAAUCGCCGUGGAAAACCGAGCGAUAUAAUGUACUGUCGGGGUCUGCGGCGAGAUUCGCUCGCGGGCAAAAGACGCGCCUCAGGUGGUCUCGGGCUCCGUUGCCGUCGUCCGUCGUUCGACGAGCUGACGAGCGAGUUCGCAAUAAAUUGGAAUACGCCAACGCGCCAUCAACCGCGUCUCUUUCUUUCUCUCGAUGACUCCCGGGCCCCGAUAGUCGUUCGAACACGAAUAAUGGUAAGGAGAGGGUGUUCUCUCGAGUCACCUGUCACAGUCGGCAGAUAAACGCGAGAGUACCCGCGAGUCGCCUGCGAGUGCUCACGUUCUUGGUUGCCGGUCUAGUUGAGUCCACCACCGAGUCAUCGAUGGAUCUCUUCUCUCCUUCUCGUGAAGUAAAUCUCGCACCGACAAUCGCGACGGGCGCGAGUUAGGUACGAACUAGAUCCCGCGAAGGAAGCCCAUGGAACACGGUUUCCCGAAGAGAGACUCGCGGACGCUCGGUAAUGUGCGGCGAAUUGAAAGCGAGCUGCGGCGCAGUCGUUAGCCCGACUGACUAGCGAAGUACGUCUCUGAUGUAAGAAUGAAGUGCACGUCAGGAGGGACGUGCCCGCUGCGAUUUCCUGAUGCCGGGAACACGCGCGGUGUCUCCUGCCUUAUUUGAUGGCGGGAGUGAUGCCGGGAUUGAUAGGUGUGCUUUUUUUAUAACGUUGGCGCGUCUCCCUCGGCGCGAACUGUCCUAUAGAAAUUCAAUGUCUGCAAUGGAGAAGGAUAACCGCUGAUUUAAUUUAAUUUUUUUAAUUGGAAGGAUUUGUCUCAGUAAUUGAGGUAUAAUUCGUACAGAAUUCGGUUUGUUAUUAUUUGUCGCGUAUUGAUAUUAAUAUUUACAUUUACGAAUACAAAAUCGUAGUGUAAAGCAGAUUCUGUACAAAUAGAUAACUACAUUAGAAAUGCUACCUCCUCAAGAGAUAUGUAUUUGCGAGCUUAAGUAGAGAAAAUAAUCCCGGAAAUUCGAGUCGAAAGAAACCACUUACGUCGUUGAAAUUGUUUUCACUUUAUUUCGACUGUGGCGGAUAAUAAAUUUUCGUUGGAAACGGAAGUCGUGUGGACGUAGCGGCAAUGUUCUAUAAAAAGGUAAGAGCAGUUCCUCGGGCUUCAGGAAGCAAGAGAUAUAAGAAAAAAAGAAGAGAAAAAAGGGAGGGGAGGAGAGAUGCACCCCUUAAUGGACUCCGUUCCAUAACAGUGUGUCCCGGAGCACCGCGACUACAAGACAGGUUGAGUAGAUCAGCUGAGCGAGUAGGAAAAGAAGUCAAGUGUCGUACAUUAGCGUGAUAAAGAUGCGCCAGAAACGCGCCGCGUGAGGCACGUUCUAUCGAGAGGCCAGAAACCGUGCCACGAAACCUCUCGAUUAGACCUACAUGCGCGGAACGAAGGAGGAAAUAGGAGGAGUAAAAGAGGAAGGAGGAGUAGGAGGAAGAGGAAGAGGUGAAGUAUGACGAGGAGAAAAUCAGCGUAACCGGCUAUGUUCGCCUAGCGUUUCCCUCUUGGCAACCGAGUCGAGUUGCCUCUGCAGGGGUACUUAAAAAAAUCUAGACCACCCAGCGACCCUUUUCCGGAUUGCGUGAAGGGUUGCAUGCCCACGUAGUUCAGUGCAACUAGGUGCUUUACGUUUCGUCGUACUCUUCGCACGUUUACGCGUAAAGUGGACGAACGUCAAAGGAGAAAUGGACUACGAAAGAGAGUAUGUUGAUCUUGGUUGCUUGUUCGUAGUUGCAUAUCACAUUUUCUUUUCUCUUUCUUUCUCCUUCACUCACAUAUGUAUGUAGAUCAUACGACAUAUGGAAGGAAUUAUUCUUAGGGUCAGAGUAGGGUUUUGCGCGAAUGUAAAAGUGCGAAAAGGGACGAGAGGUGCCAUUAGGGCGGGAGUGAGUGUGCGAAAAGAGAGGAGCGCGCGGGGAAGGUAAGGAGAGAAUAAGGGAACAUACCGUGUACAUACGCGCGUUGUCGAGGAGGGUGAGAAAUCGGAGCAAAGGGUAAGGCGGAGGGAGAACGGCACGAUACCGAUGGAAAUGUGAGGAUCGAGGGAGAAUGAGAAAAAGAGACAGCGAACGACAAAGAGGCGUAAGAAGAACGAAAGAUCGGGCGAAGAGAAAGGGGCGAUACUGCAUGCAGAAAUAGGGGUUGACGAGGAGGAAAUCGGGCUGGAGGUUGCAUACGAAGAUGCAUACACGCGGUGCGCACGAGCACUCGCCAGGGCAGUGCACCCUGACGGGUGCAUUGAUCCCUCGUAGGCCGUGCGUAGGUACGCCUUAACUGCUACCCCGUUUUUUUUCUCGCAUCCCUCGCCUCUUGUCCCUUUGGAUUGCACUCCUCUAAUUCUUCGCCUUGCCCCAUGUACUUAUGCGCAGUGCAUCGUCGCGUGCACUCGUAUGCAUGCAUACGCGUAAGCAGAAGCGUGUUCCCUUCUUCGUCUUGGCAAGCGUCACAGGGGUUGGGAAAAAUGUUGGAUUUUUCUCUCGCGCGAGACGACGAUGACGAACGGCGACGUUGUUUUCCGUUUAGCUUGCGUUUCAAAGGGUAACGCGUCGUUACCGUUAAAAAAAAAAUUUGCGGGAAAGAGUUACGAGAACGAAAAAAAUAACUCACAAACGCGAAAAGUGCGUGCGCACGGAAAGUAGGGCGGCAGUGAAACUCGUUAAAAUGAAUAUGCGGUUUAGGUGAAUUGCGUGUAAAACAUGUAAUGUGUAUGAAAGGUUUGAAAAAAAAAAACACGUAUGCGUGAUUUUCUGUUAAUCACCUUGUUGAUCGGCAAAACGUUCUUUAAAAAUAUUGCCUCGAUAAUUAUAUGUAUUUAAGAGUGAUCUUUUAGCACGUAUCUUAAGGUGAUCAUGUAAUCAUAUGUCUUAUAUAACGAUGUCUAGUUAGAAACUGCACGAGUAUUUUCCCCUUUUUCAACAUCACACAGACGCGUAGACGCAUAUUUUGUGCACGGCGUCAGCAGUUAAUAAUGAUGGAGCGUGAAAUGUAACUAUAUGAUAUUGAAUCCGAAAAUUCUCAUUUAUGACAAAAAAUGAAAAUGAUCCUUGCAGAAAUUUUAUUGUGAUUUAUCGGCGCUACGCAUCACUCGGUUGUAGCUCGUAACUUUGCCACCUCGCGUUAAAUCCGUGACAGUGAUAAACUGAUCAGCAAUUGACGUGUGCAACACAAUCGCGUGCACACUCGCGCAUUCGAGGGCGCUUUAAAAUCUUCCGCCAUUACAGAAAAUGUACGACCGGGGCGGAACGCGUGAUAAGCCAGGUUUUCGCAGCUACGUAUCAAUUUGUGAUAUCGAGUUACCUGCAUCGCGGCGGCGCGUCGAAAGCAAUCCUUCACCUCUCGCGUGCAUUUUUCCGUCGGGGCACGCGCCUAUUUCUCGGUGCAUAAAUCAUACACCUUCGCAUUCACCCCUUUCUCGAGGCAGACAGAGGCAGGCGGGAGAAAGAAAGAAAACGAGAGAUCGGAUCGAUUGGCGACCCGCAUGGGAAAAAGCGUGCAAAAACUACGCGUUAAGUCUCGACACGCCUACACAAUGGGGUUUCUCCUCUCCUCGAUGUCUUCGAAAGCAUAUCAUAAAAAUUCGAGCGCGAGCGAGAGAUCGGUCCGUACCUACAUCAUCACUGUCGGCUGUCUCGCGACGAGACGACAGGAGCAGCGCGCCCGUACCCCGAAGAUAAGGAAAUGAAGAGCUGAUAAUUAGAGCGUGGCGCACCACGCCCUCUCUUGAACCGUCCAGGGAUAAUCGUGAUCUCGCUAUAAUAUUCCCGUACGCGUGUACGUGUUGGUGUGAUGGUUGCGUACGUAAAUACGUAUGUGUGCUCGUUUCCGUAUACGUCAACGUGGCGUGCUGUUGCACAAAGUAUGGCGGCCAUGUGGCUCGGUCAACCCCGGUGGUCCACUGCAUUUAGAACGGUACGAGUGGACCCGCUUGUGGACCAGCCGUACAAAGCGUAUAUCGCGAUAACGAGCCUGGGAAUUGUACGCGACGAAUAGAGACCUCUCCGGCUUCCGGCUUUCCACGAGGAUGCUCGCGCGACCUGAAUCAACGGCGUUGGAGAAUGUCUCUCGGGUAAGGACGAUAUUUUGGCACUAAAUUUCCAGCGCGUCCCGAUAACGUUAUUCACGUUAAUAUUUAACCGUCUGGUUUGUGUUUAGUUUUUUCCCGCGCUGUAAAGAAAAAAACAACGGGCACAGAAAUAGCUUGAGAGCACUUUAUUUCAAUUUGAUUAAAAUUGCAGCUCUAAUUUAUGAUUCUCAAUAUUUUUCAAUAAUUAAUACGUAUUGUUUAAUAAAUUAA